rnacentral:rRNA from 1 species
AGUGAACGCUGGCGGUAGGCCUAACACAUGCAAGUCGAACGGCAGCACAGUAAGAGCUUGCUCUUACGGGUGGCGAGUGGCGGACGGGUGAGGAAUACAUCGGAAUCUACUUUUUCGUGGGGGAUAACGUAGGGAAACUUACGCUAAUACCGCAUACGACCUACGGGUGAAAGCAGGGGAUCUUCGGACCUUGCGCGAUUGAAUGAGCCGAUGUCGGAUUAGCUAGUUGGCGGGGUAAAGGCCCACCAAGGCGACGAUCCGUAGCCGGUCUGAGAGGAUGAUCAGCCACACUGGAACUGAGACACGGUCCAGACUCCUACGGGAGGCAGCAGUGGGGAAUAUUGGACAAUGGGCGCAAGCCUGAUCCAGCCAUACCGCGUGGGUGAAGAAGGCCUUCGGGUUGUAAAGCCCUUUUGUUGGGGAAGAAAAGCAGCAGGUUAAUACCCCGCUGUUCUGACGGUACCCAAAGAAUAAGCACCGGCUAACUUCGUG